UACGUAGGGCGCAAGCGUUGUCCGGAAUUAUUGGGCGUAAAGAGCUCGUAGGUGGUUUGUUACGUCUGCUGUGAAAACCUAGGGCUUAACCCUGGGCCUGCAGUGGAUACGGGGCAGACUAGAGGUAGGUAGGGGGAGAAUGGAAUUCCCGGUGUAGCGGUGAAAUGCGCAGAUAUCGGGAGGAACACCGGUGGCGAAGGCGGUUCUCUGGGAAUAUCCUGACGCUGAGGAGCGAAAAGUGUGGGGAGCGAACAGG
rnacentral:rRNA from 1 species